AAUGAGGUGCCUGACUAAAGGAUUAUUUUGAUAGAAUAAAUUAAGUAAUUUUAUACCCUUAUUG
rnacentral:tRNA from 1 species